rnacentral:misc_RNA from 1 species
AACGCACAUUGCGCCCGCCAGUAUUCUGGCGGGCAUGCCUGUCCGAGCGUCAUUUCAACCCUCGAACCCCUCCGGGGGGUCGGCGUUGGGGAUCGGCCCUUUCACCGGGUGCCGGCCCCUAAAUACAGUGGCGGUCUCGCCGCAGCCUCUCAUGCGCAGUAGUUUGCACACUCGCACCGGGAGCGCGGCGCGUCCACGUCCGUAAAACACCCCAAACUUCUGAAAUGUUGACCUCGGAUCAGGUAGGAAUACCCGCUGAACUUAA